rnacentral:rRNA from 1 species
AUUGAACGCUGGCGGCAUGCCUAACACAUGCAAGUCGAACGAGUGGCGGACGGGUGCGUACUGUCUGGGAAACUGCCCGCUGGAGGGGGAUUACUACUGGAAACCGUUUCUAAUACCGCAUACCAUCUGAUGUGCCCAGAUGGGAUUAGCUGGUAGGUGGGGUAACGGCUCACCUAGGCGACGAUCCCUAGCUGGUCGGCGAGGGUGAGCGGCCACACUGGAACGGAGAAACGGCCCAAACUCCUACGGGGGGCAGCAGUGGGGAAUAUUGCACAAUGGGCGAAAGCCUGAUGCAGCAAGGCCGCGUGUAUGAAGAAGGUCUUCGGGUGGUAAAGUACUUUCAGCGAGGAGGCGGUACUGGCAGAAGAAGCAACGGCUAACUCCGUGCCAGCAGCCGCGGUAAUAC